rnacentral:rRNA from 1 species
GAUCUGGCUCAGGAUGAACGCUGGCGGCGUGCUUAACACAUGCAAGUCGAGCGAAGCACUUAAGUUUGAUUCUUCGGAUGAAGACUUUUGUGACUGAGCGGGCGGACGGGUGAGGUAACGCGUGGGUAACCUGCCUCAUACAGGGGGAUAACAGUUAGAAAUGACUGCUAAUACCGCAUAAGACCACGGUACCGCAUGGUACAGUGGUAAAAACUCCGGUGGUAUGAGAUGGACCCGCGU